rnacentral:lncRNA from 1 species
ACUUCAUCUCAAACUAUUAAAACUCAUAGUUAAUAGAUUUCCUCACCCAAACACCACUAGGCCGAAUACUCACCUAGUUAUUUUAGCAUUUUAUUAUUCAACGUCUAAUCUAAUUAAUCGUAAAAUCCAUACAUACAUUUAAUUGUAUACUUAAGUCCAAGAUUCAUAGUAUAACGGCUCACAUAUACAUAUAGUCUACAUGGCCGAAUACAUUAUGUAAAGCCCAAAAUCUGCCCGGGCCUAACACACUCAAAACAGUCCAAUUACAAAAAAACAAGCCCAUAUUCCACUACCAAAAUUACAAUGCCCAAAUAAACCAAAACCCAAAAGCCCAAAUGGCCCAAAAUCUAAAACAAUUUCAGCCAAACAAAAAGAAAGGCAGAAACCCUAGGUGCGUUGCACCUAGGUCCACCUCGCAUGCCUUCCGUGCCUCUGCAGCUCCUCCUGCUACCAGCCACCGCUGCCGUACGCGCACCAGGCCUUCUCCGCAUGUCUGACGUCUCUCUGACACCGCUUGCAACACGCAAGCACUAAAAGACAACAGAAGCAAACAACAGAAACAAACAAAAACAAUAGAAUGGAGAGUCGUUCAAAUCGGCUAUAAAAGCCUAAAUCGGAUGAAUGUAUUUCUCUUCUUCCUUUUUACGAACAAUAGAAAUAAAAAGCAGAAACUAAGAAGAUUGCUGGUUUUUUUUUAAAUCUUUCUUCUUCUUUAUUUUGUUAUUAUUAUUAUUUUAUUUUUUUAAACAAAAAUAAAAAAGGGAAAGCAAAACUUACCUGAAGCAGACUCGCAGCCUCGCCGUCGGUGGUCAUUCACCGUCGUCGGAUUCGGGUUUGGGAAGGGGCCAAGUUUUUUCUCUCCUUGUUUCCUCGAUCUGCGGUUUUGGCCUUUGAACGCACUUCAACACGCUGGCCGAAAAAGCCCUUGCACGACGUAGGCCAUCGGCCACGAGUGCGUUGGCGGCAGUCCAAACGACCAAAUAUGAGGGGGGUUUGAGAGAAAAUGGGGGCUGUUGAGUUUUUU